GGGCCCGCACAAGCGGUGGAGCAUGUGGUUUAAUUCGAAGCAACGCGCAGAACCUUACCUACCCUUGACAUGUCCAGUAUGAGCACCAGAGAUGGAGCUCUUCAGUUCGGCUGGCUGGAACACAGGUGCUGCA
rnacentral:rRNA from 1 species